rnacentral:rRNA from 2 species
CGGAGGGAAACCGAGUCUUAACCGGGCGUUAAGUUGCAGGGUAUAGACCCGAAACCCGGUGAUCUAGCCAUGGGCAGGUUGAAGGUUGGGUAACACUAACUGGAGGACCGAACCGACUAAUGUUGAAAAAUUAGCGGAUGACCUGUGGCUGGGGGUGAAAGGCCAAUCAAACCGGGAGAUAGCUGGUUCUCCCCGAAAGCUAUUUAGGUAGCGCCUCGUGAAUUCAUCUCCGGGGGUAGAGCACUGUUUCGGCUAGGGGGCCAUCCCGGCUUACCAACCCGAUGCAAACUGCGAAUACCGGAGAAUGUUAUCACGGGAGACACACGGCGGGUGCUAACGUCCGUCGUGAAGAGGGAAACAACCCAGACCGCCAGCUAAGGUCCCAAAGUCAUGGUUAAGUGGGAAACGAUGUGGGAAGGCCCAGACAGCCAGGAUGUUGGCUUAGAAGCAGCCAUCAUUUAAAGAAAGCGUAAUAGCUCACUGGUCGAGUCGGCCUGCGCGGAAGAUGUAACGGGGCUAAACCAUGCACCGAAGCUGCGGCAGCGACACUGUGUGUUGUUGGGUAGGGGAGCGUUCUGUAAGCCUGUGAAGGUGUGUCGUGAGGCAUGCUGGAGGUAUCAGAAGUGCGAAUGCUGACAUAAGUAACGAUAAAGCGGGUGAAAAGCCCGCUCGCCGGAAGACCAAGGGUUCCUGUCCAACGUUAAUCGGGGCAGGGUGAGUCGACCCCUAAGGCGAGGCCGAAAGGCGUAGUCGAUGGGAAACGGGUUAAUAUUCCCGUACUUGGUGUUACUGCGAAGGGGGGACGGAGAAGGCUAUGUUGGCCGGGCGACGGUUGUCCCGGUUUAAGCGUGUAGGUGUGUGUUCCAGGUAAAUCCGGUUCACUUUAACACUGAGGCGUGACGACGAGGCACUACGGUGCUGAAGCAACAAAUGCCCUGCUUCCAGGAAAAGCCUCUAAGCAUCAGGUAACAUCAAAUCGUACCCCAAACCGACACAGGUGGUCAGGUAGAGAAUACCAAGGCGCUUGAGAGAACUCGGGUGAAGGAACUAGGCAAAAUGGUGCCGUAACUUCGGGAGAAGGCACGCUGACACGUAGGUGAAGUGAUUUACUCAUGGAGCUGAAGUCAGUCGAAGAUACCAGCUGGCUGCAACUGUUUAUUAAAAACACAGCACUGUGCAAACACGAAAGUGGACGUAUACGGUGUGACGCCUGCCCGGUGCCGGAAGGUUAAUUGAUGGGGUCAGCGCAAGCGAAGCUCCUGAUCGAAGCCCCGGUAAACGGCGGCCGUAACUAUAACGGUCCUAAGGUAGCGAAAUUCCUUGUCGGGUAAGUUCCGACCUGCACGAAUGGCGUAAUGAUGGCCAGGCUGUCUCCACCCGAGACUCAGUGAAAUUGAACUCGCUGUGAAGAUGCAGUGUACCCGCGGCAAGACGGAAAGACCCCGUGAACCUUUACUAUAGCUUGACACUGAACAUUGAGCCUUGAUGUGUAGGAUAGGUGGGAGGCUUUGAAGUGUGGACGCCAGUCUGCAUGGAGCCGACCUUGAAAUACCACCCUUUAAUGUUUGAUGUUCUAACGUGGACCCGUUACCCGGGUUGCGGACAGUGUCUGGUGGGUAGUUUGACUGGGGCGGUCUCCUCCUAAAGAGUAACGGAGGAGCACGAAGGUUGGCUAAUCCUGGUCGGACAUCAGGAGGUUAGUGCAAUGGCAUAAGCCAGCUUGACUGCGAGCGUGACGGCGCGAGCAGGUGCGAAAGCAGGUCAUAGUGAUCCGGUGGUUCUGAAUGGAAGGGCCAUCGCUCAACGGAUAAAAGGUACUCCGGGGAUAACAGGCUGAUACCGCCCAAGAGUUCAUAUCGACGGCGGUGUUUGGCACCUCGAUGUCGGCUCAUCACAUCCUGGGGCUGAAGUAGGUCCCAAGGGUAUGGCUGUUCGCCAUUUAAAGUGGUACGCGAGCUGGGUUUAGAACGUCGUGAGACAGUUCGGUCCCUAUCUGCCGUGGGCGCUGGAGAACUGAGGGGGGCUGCUCCUAGUACGAGAGGACCGGAGUGGACGCAUCACUGGUGUUCGGGUUGUCAUGCCAAUGGCACUGCCCGGUAGCUAAAUGCGGAAGAGAUAAGUGCUGAAAGCAUCUAAGCACGAAACUUGCCCCGA